AGCUCCAAUAGCGUAUAUUAAAGUUGUUGCAGUUAAAAAGCUCGUAGUUGGAUUUCUGGUCUGAUGCCCUGGCCCGCGCCAAAUACGGUGUGUGUGCCGGCUGUGCGUCUACCAUCCUUCUAGCAAACCUUCCUACCCUUCACUGGGCCGGGUUGGCGAGUUAGAUCUUUUACUUUGAAAAAAUUAGAGUGUUUAAAGCAGGCUUUUGCUAUGAAUACAUUAGCAUGGAAUAAUAAUCUAGGACUUUGGUUCUAUUUUGUUGGUUUCUAGUACUGAAGUAAUGAUUGAUAGGGAUAGUUGGGGGUGCUAGUAUUGAGCGGCCAGAGGUGAAAUUCUUGGAUUCGCUCAAGACUAACUUAUGCGAAAGCAUUCACCAAGGAUGUCUUCUUUAAUCAAGAAC
rnacentral:rRNA from 1 species